UCCCUCUUAGCUCAGUGGUAGAGCGCGUCACUAGUAGUGUUUAAUUGCGAUGACGAGGUCAGUCGUUCAAGUCGGCUAGAGGGAA